UUGAAAGGGAAACGAUUGAAGUCAGUCGUACCGACGAGAAAUCAGCUUAUCGUGUGUUAACUUGUGGGCGUGCGUGAGUUUCGGCCUCGCUGUUUGCAAGUUUGUGCGCUUUGGGUGUACUUUUUAGUAUGGUUGGCCAACAUCAGUUUCGAUUACUAUAAAAUGACUGGCGGAAUGUAGCUUCGAUUUCGGUUGAAGUGUUAUAGCCUCUGGUAGAUGUGGUGAUUGAGACUGAGGAUUGCAACGAAUAUCCUUUGGGCUAUCCGUCUGGCCUCUGAAAGUUGCUUGGGUGCUGAAAGCUUGCUUAUGGUUAUCUAAGUUAACGGUCAAUAGGUUAGAACGUGAUUACAUUCGUUAAGGAUGUUGACGUA
rnacentral:rRNA from 1 species